rnacentral:hammerhead_ribozyme from 1 species
CUCCAGCUGACGAGUCCUAAAUAGGGCGAAACAUGCGUCCGGGUU